CAGUAGCCGCGGUAAUACGAAGGGUGCAAGCGUUAAUCGGAAUUACUGGUCGUAAAGCGCGCGUAGGUGGUUUGGUAAGAUGGAUGUGAAAUCCCCGGGCUCAACCUGGGAACUGCAUCCAUAACUGCCUGACUAGAGUACGGUAGAGGGUGGUGGAAUUUCCUGUGUAGCGGUGAAAUGCGUAGAUAUAGGAAGGAACACCAGUGGCGAAGGCGACCACCUGGACUGAUACUGACACUGAGGUGCGAAAGCGUGGGGAGCAAACAGGAUUAGAUACCCCCGUAGUCCCUGUCUCUUAUAA
rnacentral:rRNA from 1 species